UACGUAGGGUGCGAGCGUUAAUCGGAAUUACUGGGCGUAAAGCGUGCGCAGGCGGUUCGUUGUGUCGGCGGUGAAAGCCCCGGGCUUAACCUGGGAACGGCCGUUGAAACUGGCGAACUGGAGUGUGGCAGAGGGGGGUGGAAUUCCGCGUGUAGCGGUGAAAUGCGUAGAUAUUGGGAGGAACACCAGUGGCGAAGGCGGCUCACUGGACCGGAACUGACGCUGAGGCGCGAAAGCGUGGGGAGCAAACAGG
rnacentral:rRNA from 1 species